rnacentral:tRNA from 1 species
GCGGGCGUAGCCAAGUGGUAAGGCAGCAGACUGUGACUCUGCCACUCGCGGGUUCAAAUCCCGUCGUUCGCC